rnacentral:rRNA from 1 species
GAUCCUGGCUCAGGAUGAACGCUGGCGGCGUGCCUAACACAUGCAAGUCGAACGAAGUGCUAUUAAUGAAACUUCGGUGGAUUUAAAAGUAUCUUAGUGGCGGACGGGUGAGUAACGCGUGGGUAACCUGCCUUAUACAGGGGGAUAACAGUCAGAAAUGACUGCUAAUACCGCAUAAGCGCACAGAGCUGCAUGGCUCAGUGUGAAAAGCCGAGACGGUAUAAGAUGGACCCGCG